CCUACGGGUGGCAGCAGUGAGGAAUAUUGGUCAAUGGCCGGAAGGCUGAACCAGCCAAGCCGCGUGAAGGACGAAGGUGCCAAGCAUUGUAAACUUUUUUUGUCAAGGGACAAAAUCAGGCUCGAGAGCCUGACCGCGGGUACUUUAAGAACAAGCAUCGGCUAACUCCGUGCCAGCAGCCGCGGUAAUACGGAGGAUGCGAGCGUUAUCCGGAUUUAUUGGGUUUAAAGGGUGCGUAGGCGGGCUGUUAAGUCAGCGGUAAAAGCCCGGGGCUAAACCCCGGCGAGCCGUUGAAACUGGCAGUCUUGAGAGGGCGAGAGGUAUGCGGAAUGCGCAGUGUAGCGGUGAAAUGCGUAGAUAUUGCGCAGAACUCCGAUUGCGAAGGCAGCAUACCGGCGGCGAUCUGACGCUGAGGCACGAAAGCGUGGGUAUCGAACAGGAUUAGAUACCCCUGUAGUC
rnacentral:rRNA from 1 species